rnacentral:ribozyme from 1 species
UGCACAAAAAAAAAAAAAAAAAAAAAAAAAAAAAAAAAAAAAAAAAAAA